rnacentral:rRNA from 1 species
AGGAUGAACGCUGGCGGCGUGCCUAAUACAUGCAAGUCGAGCGGUAAGGCCCCUUCGGGGGUACACGAGCGGCGGACGGCUGAGUAACACGUAGGAACGUACCCCAAACUGAGGGAUAAGCACCAGAAAUGGUGUCUAAUACCGCAUGUGCUCUUCGGAGUAAAGCUUCGGCGGUUUGGGAGCGGCCUGCGCAUGAUUAGCUUGUUGGUGAGGUAAAAGCUCACCAAGGCGACGAUCAUUAGCUGGUCUGAGAGGAUGAUCAGCCAGACUGGGACUGAGAACGGCCCAGACUCCUACGGGAGGCAGCAGUAGGGAAUUUUCCACAAUGGGCGAAAGCCUGAUGGAGCAACGCCGCGUGCAGGAUGAAGGCCUUCGGGUUGUAAACUGCUUUUAUCUGUGAAGAUUAUGACGGUAGCAGAUGAAUAAGGAUCGGCUAACUCCGUGCCAGCAGCCGC